UACAUGGGGUGCAACCGUUGCUCGGAAUUAUUGGGCGUAAAGGGCGCGUAGGCGGCUUCAUAAGUCAAAGGUGAAAUCCCUCGGCUCAACUGAGGAACUGCCUUUGAAACUGUGGAGCUUGAGGCCGGGAGGGGGUAGCGGAAUUCCCAGUGUAGCGGUGAAAUGCGUAGAUAUUGGGAGGAACACCAGUGGCGAAGGCGGCUACCUGGACCGGAACUGACACUGAGGAGCGAAAGCGUGGGGAGCAAACAGG
rnacentral:rRNA from 1 species